UUUUCUACUUUUUAAGGAAAUUUCCCUAUUAUCCCAAUUAGGCAUUUGAUGUCAUCCUCUUGUCAUCAAUCAGCACUAAUCAUUGGCGAACAACAUGGUAUGCCUUGCCAAAUAUUAGAAGCAAGUCCGUCUACAACAAGUGCAAAGAUUCAUCUACGAUAUAAUGCAGAAUGCUGCCAUAGGUUCACCAUGACAAGACUCGUGCCUCCAUGCAACACUUCUAACAGUUUUCACUAUCGUGUCC
rnacentral:lncRNA from 1 species